rnacentral:rRNA from 1 species
GACGAACCGUGCAAACGUUGUUCGGAAUCACUGGGCUUAAAGGGCGCGUAGGCGGGUUCGUAAGUCUGUGGUGAAAGCCCCCAGCUUAACUGGGGAAGUGCCAUGGAUACUGCGAGUCUUGAGGAGGGUAGGGGCAUGUGGAACUUCCGGUGGAGCGGUGAAAUGCGUUGAUAUCGGAAGGAACGCCGGUGGCGAAAGCGACGUGCUGGACCUCUUCUGACGCUGAGGCGCGAAAGCUAGGGGAGCGAACGGG